rnacentral:tRNA from 1 species
GGGACUAUAGUUAAUAAUAACAUUUGAGUUGCAUUCAAAAAGUACUAUCUGAAUAGUUAGCCUCA